AAUAGUUUGCUUCAACAAUAGCUUGCUUUAUCUUUGUUUUUGCAUUGUAUCCUGCUUAAGCACAAUUGCGUAGGUGGAUGGGAAGAAUGUAAAUUCCUGAAACUGUGAAACAAACAGGAACAAGGGAUUUUUACAGCUGGACAUAGGAUAUAUUACAGUCAUGCUUGAUCAAAUCAACAUCUAAUCUGGAAGUAAUAGAACAAGUUAUAUGAUAAGGGCUAUAGGCAUGUGCACGGGGUUAAAUAGGCCAAAAAUCCAUAUCAAAGAAGACUACUGGCGUUACCAACUAGCUCUUAAAAGACCCUCCUGGAUAUGUGCAGAAUAAAGAAUGAAGAUUGCGUCAGGCAUCAGGAGGUGGGAUUCGUCUUCCUGAAAGUCUUAUGGGUAUGUAAAAGGCUUGACUAUAAGAAACUUUGACUCUGUACUCACAAGUGCACAUGCAGGAUAUGAAGGCAUGCACUCAGUGCUGUAAAUAAACCUUUGCUCCACUGACUUUGUCCCCAGUAAAUUUUUCUAAAGGUGAGCUCAUUUCUUACAGGUAGCAAAAUGCCAGAGUAGGAAAAAUUUUGGAGAUGAUUAAUUGGAGGAAGGGUUAAGUUGGCAGAAAUAAGUAAUCCUGCUUAAGACUUCUGCAUCUGGAGUGCUGUGAAAUCCCUUGUGUUGUAGUAGGUGCUUCAGUGGGACUCAGAGUAUUGUAAUAAUCACCUUGACUGGCUAAAUUGGGCUGGUGAAUCUUUCAGGUGAUGGGGUGAUCCGAGAACCUUACAGGUUUUGGUACAUCUCUGGGUACUUUCUAUACUGGGCACUGUAGGAGGUUCAGCAGUCUGACAGUGGAAUCUGAUCGGGACUAAAUUCAGCUGUGGUUAUCUACCUAGCAAAAUAUGUGUUUGCUUUGGGAAUAAGCGAUGGAAAAGAAAUAGUAGAAACAGAUGAACAGGCUUCAACUUGGAUGGAACUGCUGGCAAAAGCAGCAAGACAAUUUGCAGUAUAUGAAGAGAGAGGUACAUCUACUUAAUGACAGACAGAAUUAUGCAAAGCCAGGAGAAUGCAAACAAGCUACGAGCUGCAGAAGUAGUUGCUCCCACUAUGUAUGGCCCCACAGGACAGAUAACUCUUGUAACUUCAUAUAAUUAUGAAGGUGUUAUUUUACCAUUUGCUAGAUUGAUUUUCAGCUAUAAUAUAUUGUUUGCACUGUCAGGCAAGUCCAGAGGAGGCUAUGA